rnacentral:rRNA from 1 species
GACGAACGCUGGCGGCGUGCCUAAUACAUGCAAGUAGAACGCUGAAGGAGGAGCUUGCUUCUCUGGAUGAGUUGCGAACGGGUGAGUAACGCGUAGGUAACCUGCCUGGUAGCGGGGGAUAACUAUUGGAAACGAUAGCUAAUACCGCAUAAGAGUAGAUGUUGCAUGACAUUGGCUUAAAAGGUGCAAUUGCAUCACUACCAGAUGGACCUGCGUUGUAUUAGCUAGUUGGUGGGGUAACGGCUCACCAAGGCGACGAUACAUAGCCGACCUGAGAGGGUGAUCGGCCACACUGGGACUGAGACACGGCCCAGACUCCUACGGGAGGCAGCAGUAGGGAAUCUUCGGCAAUGGACGGAAGUCUGACCGAGCAACGCCGCGUGAGUGAAGAAGGUUUUCGGAUCGUAAAGCUCUGUUGUAAGAGAAGAACGAGUGUGAGAGUGGAAAGUUCACACUGUGACGGUAUCUUACCAGAAAGGGACGGCUAACUACGUG